rnacentral:tRNA from 1 species
GCGCUCAUAGCUCAGCUGGAUAGAGUAUUUGAUUGCGGUUCAAAAGGCCAGAGGUUCGAAUCCUCUUGAGCGCACCA